CAGCUAUUGUCUAUGUCAAGAGCCAAAGUGAUGCCAAGGCAGCAGUUAAAGACCUAAAUGGGUGUUCCCUUCAAGGCCACACUGUCCAGUUGGUGCGGCUCUGUGGGCUUGGCUCAGCUGAUCCUAAACUGAUCAGUGAUCAGUCCCACAGCACCUCAGAAACCUAUGAAGCUGAAACCGCAGGGGGUGGACUGGGAGCUAAAGGUGUAACCUACAGUUCAUCACAUGGAAGGAUCGUAGAUGCCCUGCUGGAACUGUGGGCCAAGCAUCAGGGUUUCUUCAGUGGGAUUCCUUUGAGAUCUAUAGUGGAUCUGACCUCCGAGCUUCUCACACAGGCCUCUACCCCAUCAUGUAUUUGAGUUUGUGCUGUUUUAAGCAGUGAUAAAGGUCUUGUAAAUAGUUCCCUGACCAGUAUGACUGGAUUUCAGUUGUCAGUUAAAUUUUUGCAACUCAUUUUUAUGUUAUGUACAGCCAUUUCGUUGUAAUUCUUUAAUCAGAGCAUUUCCUUCUCUUGGAACUGGAGUAAAUUUUGAGUUAAUUUCAGGUUUUUCAGGUUUUCAUCUCUGC
ensembl:lncRNA